rnacentral:lncRNA from 1 species
GAAAGCUCUUAGAAGAUGUCAGGCAAUGUUUUAAGCCAUUUGAAGUAAUGGCUUAGCUGUAUUAACCCAUUUAAUCCUCAAGAAAACCUCUUCAUGUCUGCACCAUUAUUACCAUCAUUUAUAAAAUGAGCACAUGGCAGCAGAGUGAGGCGAAGUGACCUGCAGGUGACACAGCUGGCAAUGUGUGAGCUCAGGACAGAUUUGGACUAGGAUCUAUGUUCGUCACAGCUACCCAUCACUGUUUUAAAAUGAAUCCUCAAACUGUAACAUCUAACCAAGAGAAACAUGAUUUGCUAUCACAUUGCUGGAGACCUCGAUAUCUAAUCCAGGCUAACCCCUGUUCUUGCCUCUGCCUAGUUUUCAAAGAAAGAAGAUAAAAGUCUCUCUCAGUUCAAAAAACAUCAUGUGAAAGAGUCAAAUAAAUUUCCAUCACAUGGAGCAUGAUCAUGUGAGAAAAAAGAAUGUGUACAUGUACGUGUGACCGGGUCACCUUGCUGUGCAGUAGAAAAUUGACAGAAUACUGCAAAUCAGCUAUAAUGGAAAAAAAUAAAAAUCAUUAUAAAAAAAGUUCCAUCACAGCAUUCCUAAAUAUCAUAUGAUUUCUCACUUACAAUGUAGAUUUCCCUGUGUACUAGAAAUAUACUUUAAAAAUGUAUUUAACACCCCAUGGAAAGUAAUAUGCUCUGCCUAAGUAUUGCCAGUUCUCAGAGAUUAAUUAAUAUUAAUAUUCUUGUGAGAAAAGGUUCAAUGAUUAUUUACACGAAGUGAAUGAGAAAGGAUCCACUCUUAAUACAGUGUUUAGCUAUGUAAAUAAAACACCACCACACUGUUUAGGCUCCUACUUACACAGGCUGUUAAUGGCAGUGGCCCUGGUAAACCUCAGAGAACAAGCCUCAAGUGACUCUGCAGGUCAUGUCUCACACUGUGUGCAUCCUGUUUCCUGUCCACAGUGGCUAUAAUGGGCACAUAAACUAAAAUUCACGCCCUAUUUAAUCUGUAAACGCCCUGUGUCCUUAGCCCGUAGCAAUGGAAACAUGCCAGGAUCUUUUUCUUAUACAUUUUCUCUUCUCCAUCGGAUCUGAGGAAAAUCCGAGGAAAAUUUAACCAUCGCAGAAUCAUAAAUGGUUAAUGUCAUUUCUGCAUGGCUAGGCUCUUGAUAAUCUUAAAUCCAGAUCAAGAGUUGUUUCAAAGUAAAUUCAUACCACAGUCAUCCAAACAGAAAAGGCUGAAGGAAACAUGCACAAUAUAUCGGAUUAAAUGCAACUUCAGACACCUCAUCCUAGUAAACCUGGGAGACGACUUAAAAAUUUAGGAGGCCUUGGCCAAAUCUUCACUGAGAUAAAAUUUCUAAAAUAGUAUCUAGUAAAAUGACUAGGACAGGUGAAGAGAUUUAUUCUGUUAGCCAAACCAUGUAAUUAAAUACUGACCUUUUCGAUUUACUAAUUUAAAUUUCCCGGUCUCAUUUAAGCCAUCACUUUAGGUGUGUAAUUCAGUCUGCACAUGACUGUUUUAAUAAUUCUCAGUAAGGGAAUUUUUCACAACAUAAUGACUGUUUACAAUUUUAAAUUCACUUAUUUUUUCUAAUAUAUAUUCUAGUAAAUGGCAGCCAGACCAAAAGCACAGAGCAGAAGAAAACAGAAAACUGAACGCAAAGCUAAGACAAUCCAUGGUGCAUUAUUUGCCUGUUGGAACUGAGCUUUAGGUACCUCAUCGCAUGUCUUCUUUAUAUUUUUGUAAAAGUUAUUUUCCAAUUACGUUUUCAUAAAGCACAGUAACCUCUCCAGCAUAGACAACUACUCAAUGAAACAGCUUCUGGUUUUAGGUAGAGAAUUUAAUAUUAUUAUAAAUGCCUACAAAAUAGUCUUCACUUGUACGGAACUCCAGUUUAUCAUAAAAAGGCACUAUAUUUCUUCAAGGCUUAAUUUAGAAGUAAAAUUUAAAUAUGCAUGUGGUGCAAGAGCUUUUAGAAUUUUUUCUAAGAGGCUGUGGGUUACAUUAUCAAGUCGUAUUUAAAGAGCCUAUCUUAAUUCUGUAAACUGAAUGAGUAGAGACGGGGAUGCAACAUCAAUUCACCUGCACAUUUCUGUUCCAGAAUUUUCAAUACUUUCCCUUGCAGAUUCUAGGUCCGUGGGGUUUUUUUUAACUGUCAAAAGCGAGACAACUGUAUUUUACAGCGCCCUGAAAUAUCGGAACCAAACACUGUGCUGGUGAUGGAGACCGAGGAGAUGGAUUUGAGAAGUUUCUGACUUUUAGGAAAGAGUUGCAAUCUGGGUUUACCACAGAUGUCUGAAGUGCAGACUUACUCCAAGGAGCCUGUGCACCUGAAGGGGGGAACAAAAUAAAUUUGUGUCAUCUUAAGCCGUUAAGUUUGUGGUAAUUUGGUACAGCAGCAACUGGAAACCGCUAAGAGUUUGCUAAGGUGUAUGCCUUUAAUGAAUACGUAUAUUUUCAUGAACCUAGAAAGAACUCAGGUGAACUAGCAAUGAAUUAAGGUAGCCCUUUCCCAGCAUAACUGCAGCAUAAUGACUCAUGUCGUGAAGGUAAACAUGGGAAGAGAGUCUUGCUUUUCCUCAGACAAGAGGAUGGUGCGUGAGCAAAGGACUGUACCAAGAGGGUACAAUCGAGGCCAUUAGAGGUUCACCUGCACUCUGACUUGCUCAUCGUGGCGCUGAUUCAUAGGGCAGAACAACCAAUGAGACGACAUGACCCAUGGGCAACUGUGAGCAAACCCCAAAAAGAGCUGGGGACUUUGUGGGAGAAGAAAUCCCUGCGGGAUGGCAUUAAGUUAGAAAGGAAAUGAAGAAUUUAUUCUGGGAACGGCAGCAGAAACAAUCAGUAACUGUAAUUUUGUUAUUAAAACAAUUUACACACGGAAAGUUAAGAAAGGGCUAGUCACUUGCUCUGCAUCUGAAUGCAUAUCUCUGACGGUUUAAAUCGAAGAGGAAAAAAAAAACCCACAAAAGAAACCUUGGCGUUUUGGAAAAAAAGAGAGCUCAGAGGGAGGUUGGCUGGUGACUGACAGAGCCUCUCAAGGUGACAGGCUAACUUCAGGCUCAUGACUGACACCUAUUUUUCUCAGGAGCCCAACUUUGACAGCAAAGUCCCAGUGGGUGAGGCCCUAGAAGAUGGACUUCCACAAGCUGCAAAAAGAUAAUAAACCAGGAAUCUAGUUAUGUGUUUAAAACCAGGGCACUUCCUCCCUGUGUGGAGCACUAGUUAUGUGUUUAAAACCAAGAGCACUUCUAGCUCAGUGUCAAGGCAACUCAGGUGCUUAAGUGACCAAAUUUGCAUGACGGGCACAGAAAAAGAGCAAAAAAUGAGAGGGCCUGAAAGAAGAUGGUAUCCAGUCAUUUAAAAAAGCCAGAUGAACCAUCUUGCUCAAAAGCCUAGCUUUCCACCGAGUCCAACACUAAUGUCACUUAAAUACCAUUUCUCUUAGUUUCUUGGACUUGGACAAAGCUGGAAGGAAAACGUCGAAUUUUGGUCUUUUACUCAUUUUUAUAAACUUCCCAUGAGCCAUUUUUAAAUACCUUACAAACAAGUGGUUUAAAAAUACAAAAUAUAGGAGUUCCUGUCGUGGCUCAGUGGUUGGCGAAUCCGACUAGGAACCAUGAUGUUGCGGGUUCGGUCCCUGCCCUUGCUCAGUGGGUUAAGGAUCUGGCAUUGCCGUGAGCUGUGGUGUAGGUUGCAGACAUGGCUCGGAUCCCGCGUUGCUGUGGCUCUGGCAUAGGCUGGCAGCUACAGCUCCGAUUUGACCCCUAGCCUGGGAACCUCCAUGUGCCAUGGGGGUGGCCCUAGAAAAGGCAAAAAGACAAAAAAAAAAAAAAAAAAAAAAAAAAAAUACAUAAUUUAUGUCUUGUAUAUUAUUUUUUAGCUUUAUUUCUGUUGUAAGGAUAAAUUCUGGUCACCUAGAAUUUGAGGGUCUCCUGCCUUCAUUAGGAGUCCAGGGAGUUCCCAUCCUGGCUCAGUGGUUAACGAAUCCGUCUAGGAACCAUGAGGUUGCAGGUUCCAUCCCUGGCCUUGCUCAGUGGGUUAAGGAUCCGGCGUUGCUAGGUUGCAGACGUGGUUCGGAUCUUGUGUUGCUGUGGUUCUGGAGUAGGCUGGCAGCUACAGCUCCGAUUCCACCCCUAGCCUGGGAACCUCCAUAAGCCGCACAAGCGGCCCAAGAAAAUGGCAAAAAGACCAAAAAUAAAAAUAAAAAGGAAUCCAGUAAGCAAUAUCUUAGGCUGUAUUUCUGAUGACAAGUCUCUCUCUAUCUCUCGCUCUAGACACACAAGCACUGUGUUCAUCAUUAGCUUCCUUCUCCAUUUGACACCUGCUCUACAUCCUAAGUACCCCUCAUUGCAGCCGCCUAUAUUCUAGCAUAGCAAACCAGCCAAUCGUUUUCGACCAACGCCCAGGGAACACGGGGUCGCAAGGUGCCAGGUGCAAACAGCAGGGUCAAACCAAAGGUUUCGCUACGCCUGCGUCUCAGAGGUCGCCCUCCGCAGACUCGUUAAGGACGAGCUACGCCUGCAGAAGGAAGCCUGGAGGCGGGGAGUCACGGGCUUUCAGCUGGUUCCGCGGAAAACCACGGACAUGGGAACACGCCACCCACACUGCCGCCGUCUUCACCUUUGCAAAAAGGAGCAGCGCCGGGCGCAGGCAGGAAGCCGCGCGGGCCGAGACGCCGGGCUGCGCGCUCCCGCUCGCCCUCCCUCCGCCGCGGCGCGGGGCCCGCCGACCC